ensembl:snRNA U2 U2 spliceosomal RNA
AUGGCUUCUCAGCCUUUUGGCUAAGAUCAAGUGUAGUAUCUAAUAAUCCAUUAAAAAAUUAAAUUAAACACACAUGACUUUAU